rnacentral:tRNA from 1 species
GGGAUUGUGGCUCAAUGGUAGAGCACUUGCCUGGCAUGUGUGAGGGCCUGGGUUCAAUCCUCAGCACCA